AGAGUUUGAUCCUGGCUCAGAGCGAACGCUGGCGGCAGGCUUAACACAUGCAAGUCGAGCGGGCGUAGCAAUACGUCAGCGGCAGACGGGUGAGUAACACGUGGGAACGUACCUUUUGGUUCGGAACAACACAGGGAAACUUGUGCUAAUACCGGAUAAGCCCUUACGGGGAAAGAUUUAUCGCCGAAAGAUCGGCCCGCGUCUGAUUAGCUAGUUGGUGAGGUAACGGCUCACCAAGGCGACGAUCAGUAGCUGGUCUGAGAGGAUGAUCAGCCACACUGGGACUGAGACACGGCCCAGACUCCUACGGGAGGCAGCAGUGGGGAAUAUUGGACAAUGGGCGCAAGCCUGAUCCAGCCAUGCCGCGUGAGUGAUGAAGGCCCUAGGGUUGUAAAGC
rnacentral:rRNA from 1 species